ACGGUGCAGAAGUAGUUGAUGCCAAGCUUCCAGGAAAAGCCUCUAAGCAUCAGGUAACACAGAAUCGUACCCCAAACCGACACAGGUGGUCAGGUAGAGAAUACCAAGGCGCUUGAGAGAACUCGGGUGAAGGAACUAGGCAAAAUGGUGCCGUAACUUCGGGAGAAGGCACGCUGGCGCGUAGGUGAAGAGACUUGCUCUCGGAGCUGAAGCCAGUCGCAGAUACCAGCUGGCUGCAACUGUUUAAUAAAAACACAGCACUGUGCAAACACGAAAGUGGACGUAUACGGUGUGACGCCUGCCCGGUGCUGGAAGGUUAAUUGAUGGGGUCAGCCGCAAGGCGAAGCUCUUGAUCGAAGCCCCAGUAAACGGCGGCCGUAACUAUAACGGUCCUAAGGUAGCGAAAUUCCUUGUCGGGUAAGUUCCGACCUGCACGAAUGGCGUAAUGAUGGCCAGGCUGUCUCCACCCGAGACUCAGUGAAAUUGAACUCGCUGUGAAGAUGCAGUGUACCCGCGGCAAGACGGAAAGACCCCGUGAACCUUUACUAUAGCUUGACACUGAACAUUGAGCCUUGAUGUGUAGGAUAGGUGGGAGGCUUUGAAGCGUGGACGCCAGUCUGCGUGGAGCCAACCUUGAAAUACCACCCUUUAAUGUUUGAUGUUCUAACUCGGCCCCAUAAUCUGGGGUGAGGACAGUGUCUGGUGGGUAGUUUGACUGGGGCGGUCUCCUCCCAAAGAGUAACGGAGGAGCACGAAGGUUAGCUAAUCACGGUCGGACAUCGUGAGGUUAGUGCAAAGGCAUAAGCUAGCUUGACUGCGAGAGUGACGGCUCGAGCAGGUACGAAAGUAGGUCUUAGUGAUCCGGUGGUUCUGAAUGGAAGGGCCAUCGCUCAACGGAUAAAAGGUACUCCGGGGAUAACAGGCUGAUACCGCCCAAGAGUUCAUAUCGACGGCGGUGUUUGGCACCUCGAUGUCGGCUCAUCACAUCCUGGGGCUGAAGUAGGUCCCAAGGGUAUGGCUGUUCGCCAUUUAAAGUGGUACGCGAGCUGGGUUUAGAACGUCGUGAGACAGUUCGGUCCCUAUCUGCCGUGGGCGUUGGAAGAUUGAGAGGGGUUGCUCCUAGUACGAGAGGACCGGAGUGAACGCACCACUGGUGUUCGGGUUGUCAUGCCAAUGGCACUGCCCGGUAGCUAAGUGCGGAAAAGAUAAGCGCUGAAAGCAUCUAAGCGCGAAACUUGCCUCGAGAUGAGUCUUCCCUGGGCCUUUAAGGCCCCUGAAGGAACGUUUAAGACUAAGACGUUGAUAGGCUGGGUGUGUAAGUGCAGCGAUGCAUUGAGCUAACCAGUACUAAUGAUCCGUGAGGCUUAACCUUACAACACCGAAGGUGUUUUAG
rnacentral:rRNA from 1 species